rnacentral:lncRNA from 1 species
ACCUUCAUUGCCAGCCACCCCAACUCUAGCCGCCGUCCACCAUAGACCAGCCAUCUCAACCACGAGCAAACCUUUAUAGCCAGCCCUAGCCACCAGAACCUCAAGGUCAAAUGCAUGCAGAAGGAGCCACUCAGUCGCCUUUGCACUAUGCAUUUAUAUUGUGCUAAUAAAUCGGCCAUAACCAUUACCUAUAAUCUGGUUUAAUAUGAUAGAA